GCCAGACGCGGUGGCGCACACCUGUAAUCCCAGUGGUUUGGAGGCUGAGGCAGGAGGAUUGUGAUUUCAAAGCCAGCUUCAGCAACUGAGAGGCACUAAGCAACUCAGUGAGACCCUGUCUCUA
rnacentral:sRNA from 1 species